rnacentral:rRNA from 1 species
UAUUAUGAGAGUUUGAUCCUGGCUCAGGACGAACGCUGGCGGCGUGCCUAAUACAUGCAAGUCGAACGCUUCUUUCCUCCCGAGUGCUUGCACUCAAUUGGAAAGAGGAGUGGCGGACGGGUGAGUAACACGUGGGUAACCUGCCCAUCAGAGGGGGAUAACACUUGGAAACAGGUGCUAAUACCGCAUAACAGUUUAUGCCGCAUGGCAUAAGAGUGAA